rnacentral:tmRNA from 1 species
CUUAUAUUGUACAUGCCGGCUUGCCGGCUAUGGCGAUAAACGGCUUGUGUAAUAAGCACAGUGGACCCGGGGGCAGUACCCGGCGCCUCCACCAAAUUUCCGUUUUCGCCGGUAUCCUGCGGGAUCCGGCGCACGGUAUGGGGGCGAAAUAGGAUCGACACGUGUCUAAAGACAGGUUUUUUGCCCGGUAUGGUACCGCCGUUAGCGGGCCGUUUUUACAAGUGCCAAUGAUAACGAUUUGGCCCUCGCUGCCUAAUUAUUAGGUAAGCGCGGUUCGGAGGGACGCCGGGCAACAGAAGUCCCUCCACU